CUACCAUAGCUCCUGGUACAGUCUUGCUAUAAGUGAAAAUAAAAAUUAUCCCAUGUUAGAAUCACUGAAGUAGACCAGCAGAACUGAAGCACACUAGAUUCUACCAAACUGGGUUGAAGCAGUCAAAAGAAAUAAAGAAUGCAAGAGAAUGAAAUCAAGCUGCCUUCAGAGUAAAUCAGGAGAAUCAGACUACUGAAGUUCAAAUCCCAGCUCCGUUCUUCCCUACUUUGUGAUCUCUAGCUAGUAUUUUAUUGAAUAAAACCCAGCCCGUUUGUUCCGUGAUUGCCAUUUCUGAAGUCGCUCAACCAAGACAACAUCAUCAAUCAAGGAUAGCGUGUGUCAGCAGGGGUCUUCUCUUCUUUUUCUGAGGGUCUAUGAUGUUUGUUUUUCAACAAAAACUGAACUCUAAGUAAACACAAAUUUUUAUUUCUGAGUAAAUGUUUUCACAUCCAAC
rnacentral:lncRNA from 1 species